rnacentral:rRNA from 1 species
UUCGCAAUGCCCGAAAGGGUGACGAAGCGACGCCGCGUGUGGGAUGAAGGCCCUCGGGUUGUAAACCACUGUCGGGAGUUAAGAAUUGUAGGGGUGCUAAUAGUAUUUCUACUUGACUAAGGCUCCGGAGGAAGCCACGGCUAACUCUGUGCCAGCAGCCGCGGUAAUACAGAGGCGGCAAGCGUUGUUCGGAAUUAUUGGGCGUGAAGAGCAUGUAGGCGGCUAUGUAAGUCGGUUGUGAAAGCCUUCCGCUUAACGGAAGAAUGGCGGUCGAAACUGCAUGGCUUGAGUGCGGGAGGGGAGAGUGGAACUUCUGGUGGAGCGGUGAAAUGCGUAGAUAUCAGAAGGAACGUCGGCGGCGAAAGCGACUCUCUAGACCGUAACUGACGCUGAGUGUGCGAAAGCUAGGGGAGCAAACGGGAUUAGAUACCCCGGUAGUCCUAGCCGUAAACGAUGGGCACUAAGUAGAGGGGUUUU